rnacentral:rRNA from 1 species
CCUACGGGGGGCUGCAGUGAGGAAUAUUGGUCAAUGGGCGCGAGCCUGAACCAGCCAAGUAGCGUGAAGGAUGACUGCCCUACGGGUUGUAAACUUCUUUUAUAAAGGAAUAAAGUGAGGCACGUGUGCCUUUUUGUAUGUACUUUAUGAAUAAGGAUCGGCUAACUCCGUGCCAGCAGCCGCGGUAAUACGGAGGAUCCGAGCGUUAUCCGGAUUUAUUGGGUUUAAAGGGAGCGUAGGCGGCAAAAUAAGUCUGAAGUAAAAGGCGUUGGCUCAACCAACGUAAGCUUUGGAAACUGUUAAGCUAGCGUGCAGGAGAGGUUAGUGGAAUUCCAUGUGUAGCGGUAAAAUGCGUAGAUAUAUGGAGGAACACCAGUGGCGAAGGCGGCUAACUGGCCUGUAACGGACGCUGAGGCACGAAAGCGUGGGGAGCAAAUAGGAUUAGAUACCCCAGUAGUC